UUGCCCCAGUAACGGCGAGUGAAGCGGCAACAGCUCAGAUUUGAAAUCCGGCCCCAGGCCCGAGUUGUAACCUGCAGAGGAUGCUUCUGGCGAGGCGCCUUCCGAGUGCCCUGGAACGGGACGCCGCAGAGGGUGAGAGCCCCGUACGGUCGGUCGCCGAGCCUGUGUGAAGCUCCUUCGACGAGUCGAGUAGUUUGGGAAUGCUGCUCUAAACGGGAGGUAUACCCCUUCUAAAGCUAAAUACCGGCCAGAGACCGAUAGCGCACAAGUAGAGUGAUCGAAAGAUGAAAAGCACUUUGGAAAGAGAGUUAAACAGCACGUGAAAUUGUUGAGAGGGAAGCGCUUGUGACCAGACUCGGGCCCGGCGGUUCAGCUGGCGUUCUCGCCAGCGCACUCCGCCGGCCCAGGCCAGCAUCGGUUCGCCGCCGGGGAGAAGGGCGGGGGGAAUGUGGCUCCUCGGAGUGUUAUAGCCCCCCGCCGUGCCCUCCGGCGGACCGAGGUACGCGCCCCGCAAGGAUGCUGGCGUAAUGGUCGCCAGCGACCCGUCUUGAAACACGGACCAAGGAGUCGUCCUAGUGUGCGAGUGUUCGGGUGCCAAACCCCUACGCGCAAUGAAAGUGAACGCUGGUGAGAGCCUCGGCGCAUCAUCGACCGAUCCUGAUGUCCUCGGAUGGAUUUGAGUAGGAGCACACUGGGCCGGACCCGAAAGAAGGUGAACUAUGCCUGUAUAGGGUGAAGCCAGAGGAAACUCUGGUGGAGGCUCGCAGCGGUUCUGACGUGCAAAUCGAUCGUCAAAUAUGGGCAUGGGGGCGAAAGACUAAUCGAACCUUCUAGUAGCUGGUUUCCGCCGAAGUUUCCCUCAGGAUAGCAGUGUUGAGCUCAGUUUUAUGAGGUAAAGCGAAUGAUUAGGGACUCGGGGGCGCAAUUAUGCCUUCAUCCAUUCUCAAACUUUAAAUAUG
rnacentral:rRNA from 1 species